CCUACGGGUGGCAGCAGUGGGGAAUAUUGGGCAAUGGGCGCAAGCCUGACCCAGCAACGCCGCGUGAAGGAAGAAGGCUCUCGGGUUGUAAACUUCCUUUUUGAGGGACGUAACAAAUGACAGUACCUCAUGAAUAAGCCACGGCUAACUACGUGCCAGCAGCCGCGGUAAUCCGUCGGCCGCAAGCGUUCUCCGGAUUUACUCGGUGUAAAGGGUGUGUAGGCGGUACGGCAAGUAAGAUGUGAAAAUUAUGGGCUCAACUCAUAACCUGCAUUUGAUACUGUAGUGCUUGAGUUAAGGUGAGGCAGGCGGAAUGCCGGGUGUAGCGGUGAAAUGCGUAGAGAUACGGAGGAACACCGGUGGCGAAGGCAGCCUGCUAGACAUUAACUGACGUUGAGGCGCGAAAGCGUGGGGAGCAAACAGGAUUAGAUACCCCUGUAGUC
rnacentral:rRNA from 1 species